CCUACGGGAGACAGCAGUGAGGAAUAUUGGUCAAUGGGCGGAAGCCUGAACCAGCCAAGUCGCGUGAGGGAUUAAGGCCCUGCGGGUCGUAAACCUCUUUUGCCGGGGAGCAGAGGUCCGGACGUGUCCGGGCCGGGAGAGUACCCGGAGAAAAAGCAUCGGCUAACUCCGUGCCAGCAGCCGCGGUAAUACGGAGGAUGCGAGCGUUAUCCGGAUUUAUUGGGUUUAAAGGGUGCGUAGGCGGGCAUUUAAGCCGGCGGUCAAAUGUCGGGGCUCAACCCCGGCCUGCCGUCGGAACUGGGUGCCUUGAGUGGGCGAGAAGUAUGCGGAAUGCGUGGUGUAGCGGUGAAAUGCAUAGAUAUCACGCAGAACCCCGAUUGCGAAGGCAGCAUACCGGCGCCCUACUGACAUUGAUGCUCGAAAGUGUGGGUAUCAAACAGGAUUAGAUACCCUUGUAGUC
rnacentral:rRNA from 1 species